AGAGUUAAACAGUACGUGAAAUUGUUGAAAGGGAAACGAUUGAAGUCAGUCGUGCCGGCGCGAAAUCAGCUUGACCGUAGGAGAUCACAGGCUGUGGCGAGCCUCAAAACCGCCACAACUUGUGCUCCCCUGUCGGCCUCGUGCACUUUCGUGUCGGCUGGUUAACAUCAAUUUCGAUCGUCAUAAAAAGGCUGGAGGGAUGUGGCUCCUUCGGGAGUGUUAUAACCUUUGGCGGAAUGUGGUGGUCGGGAUUGAGGCUUGCAACGAAUACCUUCAGGGCUGCCCCACCUGGCCUCUCGUCGGCAUCCUGGCGACGACAGCUUGCUGACGUUGUUAGGAUCAGCUUCCGAACAGGCUAGAGUGUGGGCAAAUUCGUUAAGGAUGUUAACGUAAUGGCUUUAAACGACC
rnacentral:rRNA from 1 species